GAUGAACGCUAGCGGCAGGCUUAACACAUGCAAGUCGAGGGGCAGCACGUCUUCGGAUGGUGGCGACCGGCGCACGGGUGAGUAACGCGUAUGCAAUCUACCUUUUACAGGGGCAUAGCCCGGGGAAACCCGGAUUAAUAUCCUAUAGUACCAUUAUAUAGCAUUAUAUUAUGGUUAAAGUUUCGGCGGUAAAAGAUGAGCAUGCGUCCUAUUAGCUUGAUGGUAAGGUAACGGCUUACCAUGGCUAUGAUAGGUAGGGGUCCUGAGUGGGAGACCCCCCACACUGGUACUGAGACACGGACCAGACUCCUACGGGAGGCAGCAGUGAGGAAUAUUGGACAAUGGGCGCAAGCCUGAUCCAGCCAUGCCGCGUGCAGGAAGACGGCCCUAUGGGUUGUAAACUGCUUUUAUACGGGAAGAAACACCCCUUCGUGAAGGGACUUGACGGUACCGUAUGAAUAAGGAUCGGCUAACUCCGUGCCAGCAGCCGCGGUAAUACGGAGGAU
rnacentral:rRNA from 1 species